AUGUGACAUUAAAAUCGUUCUUAUGUUAAUAAAUUACAAAAUAAAUAUAUAUAAAUGUAUAUUCGACUUUGGCUUUAAUAUUUUUUGUUUAAUUCAUUUUCAAAUUGACUUCGUCAGUCGCUCUGAGUCUUAAAAGCAAUAAAUAAGGCUCAACAUUUGCAAAGCAACUCGAGAUGAUGUUAAAGAAGAAGACUGCAAUGCCCAUUGGAAUUUUAUAAAAGAACGAGAAAGUAAGAAUAUCUUUGGCCCGCCAAAAAUAUGCGGCUCGAAUAUGCUGUUCAAUAAAAACUAAAUAAGGAAAAAAGCAAGAAAAACUGCUUUUAAUAUUUAAAAUGCUCAAAAAAUAUUUUAAACAUGAAUGAAAUAGGCAAAAAGUAAACUUAUAGCUCUGUAAAAUGUUUGCUCCAGUUGACAAUUUCCGUUCCUACUGAGCCGAAGGUUGGCGCAUCACUUUCCAAUUGUCGCCAUGUGUUAUCAACAAGCCAAUUGGAAAAAGAAUUAAAGUAGCCCACAAAUGGGAAGCAGACAGAAAAGGAACAGCGAUGCGGAGUUCGCAAGUCGAGUAGAAGAUACCCUGUUCAGCACUUAAAGUGAUUUCAACUUUUCAAAUUUGAGGCCAUAAAGAACUAAUUCAAAUAUAAGAAUAUGCAAUGUUACGAAACAUUUGUUUACUUUGUUUCUUUUUAAAUUUAUAAUAUUAUAAUGUGAAGAUUUACACAAAAAUUAUAAAUAAA